UUUAAGAGGUUAAACUCAAUUGGCUUGAGUGAAGCCACGCCCUCUCAUCAGUGAAGAACAGGAAUAUUCCGGUUUUUCCAGGUUGCCUGAAAAAAUGUAGUCACGUAGUUUUCUUAGACGGUGAACAAGCUGUAUUACAAAGAGCAAAAAGUUUUUUCUUUUGGAGAUACACCGAAAUAUUAAAGAAAUAUUCAGAGAGCGAGACAACAUUGGUUGUGAUGGCUGAACGUUUUUUCCUGCUACUAGUCACCCAUGAGGCACGGAGCAGCCGCGUGAGCACAUUUUGACCAGAGGUCAGGUCCUUUUAGCGGGAACCUAAACUUCCUGGAGCUGCAUUCGAAUAUCGUUGGAUGUCGAUGCUGGAACUGGCGUGGACAGGAAGUUGGGGGAGGUACUCAAUGGAAGGGUAAAUACCAGUGACCUCAGCAGACCAGCUAAUCAUCCACAUCCCACCAGUUUGCAAGUGGACCAACCUUUGUGAAGAACUUGUGGCCACGGAUAUUCUGCGGUGACGGGCGAUCCCGUGGGUCGAUUUGAAAUAUUUUGCCCAUCAGUUUCCCAGCUUCAAUACCGAGGUUCUGGUGUAGAAUAAAUUUAGCUUCUUUGAUGUUCUUUAUCAUUUCACAGCGAUCGUCGUGAUCGAAUGGGAUUUCCCCAACCAGAAGCUGGUACCUGUAGUAAGAAAGGCAGCAAAGGUGUUUGAGGUCUUUCACAUUUGACAUAAAAAUGCUGUGCUUCCAAAAGAGCAAUUCCUCUCAACUGUGUGCCAGUAUUCAUUUUUCUUUUCUAUUUCAAGUAGAAAAAAAAAAAACAUAUUUAUGCAUGUUAGACGCUUGUCUUCUUAAAAUGUUAGACAGAUUUUAUUAGCCAUGCUGAUCUUUGGCCGGGAGGAGGGUUGAUAGGGUAUACGUACAUGACACAGCCCAGUGCCCAGACUUCUGCUUCCGUUCCAUGUCCCUCUCGUUUCCACACUUCUGGAGCCAUGUAACAUGGAGUACCACACACUUCUCUACAACACACACAAAUGGAAAACGUUAAGCGCACAUGUGCUUUAGCUUGCUGUAUAAACAAAUUUGAAAGCUUAGCCAGGAAUUCUGCAAAAAACACCUACUUGUCCCUCGGCUCCAGCUUGAUCGCCAGUCCGAAAUCCCCAAUUUUCAGUUUCAUUUGGUCACUGACAAAUAAGUUUUCUGAAAGACAAACAAAUUUGCAUUAAGGAUAGACUCAAAUACACACGUGGACAAAAUUGUUGGUACCCUUCAG